rnacentral:misc_RNA from 1 species
AAGUCGUAACAAGGUUUCCGUAGGUGAACCUGCGGAAGGAUCAUUAAUAAAUUUUAAUGAAAACUUUUUUGAAUGGUGGGGAAACUCGCCUUCAAAAAAAGCCAAUUUUGUGAACUGUUCGACGUUUAUUUGGGGGUUGGAGAAAUCUUACUCCCAAGAGUUAUCAACCAAGUGCUUUAAAAAAAAAUCUCUGGUCAUUAUAUCUUGUUUUUCUUGUAAAAGAGAAAAAUUUGAAUACAACUUUUGACAACGGAUCUCUAGGCUCUU